rnacentral:pre_miRNA from 1 species
CUUGUACUCCCUCCAUCCGAAAAUACUUGUCAUUCAAAUGGAUGUAUCUAGAUGUAUUUUAGUUCUAGACACAUCCAUUUUGAUGACAAGUAAUUCCGAACGAAGGGAGUACUUG